rnacentral:tRNA from 1 species
GCGAGCGUGGCGAAAUUGGUAGACGCAGGAGACUUAAAAUCUCCCGGCUUCGGUUAUGCGGGUUCGAGUCCCGCCGCUCGCACCA